rnacentral:piRNA from 1 species
AUGCGAAUGUUUGAAGUGGAGAUA